GGCCUACCAUGGUGGUAACGGGUAACGGGGUGUUAGGGCACGACACCGGAGAGGGAGCCUGAGAAACGGCUACCACAUCCAAGGAUGGCAGCAGGCGCGCAAAUUACCCAAUCCCGACACGGGGAGGUAGUGACAAUAAAUAACAAUACGGGGUUCUUUAGGAUCUCGUAAUUGGAAUGAGUACAAUUUAAAUCUCUUAACGAGGAACAAUUGGAGGGCAAGUCUGGUGCCAGCAGCCGCGGUAAUUCCAGCUCCAAUAGCGUAUAUUAAAGUUGUUGCAGUUAAAAAGCUCGUAGUUGAAUUUCGGGGUUAGUAGGUUGGUCAUGCCUCUGGUAUGUACUGAUCUCACUGAUUCCUCCUUCCUGAUGAGCCGUAAUGCCAUUAAUUUGGUGUUGCGGGGAAUUUGGACUGUUACUUUGAAAAAAUUAGAGUGUUUAAAGCAAGCUAACGCUUGAAUACAUUAGCAUGGAAUAAUGAAAUAGGACGUUCGAUCCUAUUUUGUUGGUUUCUAGGAUUGACGUAAUGAUUAAUAGGGAUAGUUGGGGGCAUUAGUAUUCAAUUGUCAGAGGUGAAAUUCUUGGAUUUAUUGAAGACAAACUACUGCGAAAGCAUUUGCCAAGGAUGUUUUCAUUAAUCAAGAACGAAAGUUAGGGGAUCGAAGACGAUCAGAUACCGUCGUAGUCUUAACCAUAAACUAUGCCGACUAGGGAUCGGAUGAUGUUAAUUUUUUAAUGACUCAUUCGGCGCCUUACG
rnacentral:rRNA from 1 species